UGGAAGUCUUCCAGGAUUACUCACAGGUGGUUCAAAUUUUGUCUUGGAGUCAAAACUUGCCUUGAGAUUUGUCUCCAAGGCAAGAUUUGAACUAUCUGUGAGUAAUACUGUGAGACUUGAAGGCACCAGUGGCCAAAAGCUGUUUUCUUACAGAGUUCCUCAGCAAGGACAAGGUGCAUCAUUCCUGCCAGGCACCUGGCCAGGAGGGCUGUCACCAGGAGUAGGGACCUCUGCUAAGGCCAGCAGCAAGGGGAGCAGCGUGGUCCGGAAACACAAGAGGAGAAGGACAAAAUGCCAAGGAAAUGACAUAAGAACUUGUCUUUGCACAACAGGGAACCAGGCUUGGGGAAGGAAGCAACCUUCAAACAUCUCACCGUGCUUUGGUAACACAAGCUGUACUCAAAGACUCCACACUGGUGACGUUGCAAGUACCACACAGCAUUUGUUUUUCUGGGUGGUAAAUUGAAUGGACGUGUCCUGAAGGCUGUGAGGGUUGUGCUGUACAGACUGGUUUGGCUGGGUUGGUGCUUUACUGUGGUUGAUAGAUUUUUAUCAGAUGCUUUUACUUGUUAAAUUUUCCUCGGUUGUGGGAACAAUCCAGCAAAUAGUAAAAAUGAUGGAGCACCAGGAGACAUGCAGCCAAGGAGAUCAUUUGUUUGGCUGGAUCCCUUCCUGCACAAGGGAGGCUUUGUGUGAGCUCACAGAAGAGCCGUGUUCAUCUUGCUGUGGGCAGAACUGGCAGCAGGCUUCAGGCUUUGUCUCCAUGCAGAGUCAGGCUGGCUUGGUUCUCCACAGAGCCGAAAACUCAUUAUUUCCGAGGUUACGGCCAGGCUGCUGGGAGGCUACAGCUCCUUGUGAGAAGUGCCUGUCUCCCAGCAGCAUUGGCAAGGAGGCAGCCAGGCCUUUGCACAAAGGAAGAGGUUUGUGCUGGUCUCAGAAAGGAAUUCCAUGCUGCCUGUGAGAGCUGCCAUGGGGGUCGUGCUUCUUUGGCAGUGCUGACCUCCUCGGAGAGCUGCAAAGCUGGGGAAACCCAUGGCCCGUGGGUCAAAGACACGGGCUGGUCAUGGUUCCACCAGCACCUGGUCUCCAAGGUGAACUGCUCUGACUCUGCUUUGUCACAAUCUGGCUGUAAAACUGGGGGAACAGUAGCACCCGUCCUGAAGGCAGCUGUCCCUACAGGCAUGCCUAGUUUUAGGAGCUUUGUAAGGGUGUGGAGAAUCAUUUCUCAUGAUGUGGCCAGUGAUGCUUCACCACAGCUUUUUUUGGGAUGAGGGAUGCAAGUCAAUCUGAUCAUAUAUACAUGAGAAAAAUCAAUGCCCUGGCAAAACCAGUCCUAUUUCUGGCUAGAACAUGUCAAAACUCAUCUUCAAAAUGCAUCUUGAGUCAUAACCACAUCCAGUUCAUUGGAGGAACCUCACUCCCUGGCCUUGUUGGGUGCAGGGAUAACAUCCUUCAUCUGCGAUCUUCACCACAUACAGAACUCAACACCAGAAACUGAGUGGUUUGGGAUGAAGAGGAGGGAACAGCAUGCAUGGGGCAUAGCCUGGAGUUCAUCUUUGCAUGCAAGGUGGGAUGGGGAUCCCAUGAAAAAGUUGAACAUGCGGAAAUGAAUUAAAAGCUGUCUUCAAAGCAGUGCUUGUGUGUGUUGGCUGACUAAGAUUGCAAGGAUAACUCUAACACCAGGUCUCCACACCAGGCCAUGGCUGCGAUGCCUCAGCCUGACACAGGCCGUGUUUCAGUCGGUUAAGGAGAGGCAGCUGAGUGACCCAGCAGAGCCAUGAAGGGAUGGUGGGCAAGGAUGGUAUCACUGGACAGCCAAGAGGUUUUGAAGAUGCAAAAUGUGAAGUGCAGAUUUUUAAGGUGUUUAUAGCUCUAUCCAGCCACAGACAGCUUUUCAAAGAUCAGCAAGAGACCUAGCACAUCUCUGCCAGAAAAUUUGUCCCUUGCUAAACAACAGACUCCAGAGAUCUUGUCUUCAGAUAGGGUGAUGUUUUAAUGGCUGAACAAAUAUUUUCCUUGACUUUGCUCUGGGAAACAGCUGGGCUGUUAUGGGCAGAUUUGGGAAAAAAAAUAAUAAUAAUAAUAAAACCAGCUCUCUAGCAUUUCAGUGAAAGUAGGUAAAGCUUGGCAAACUUCCCAUAACUGCAAACUGGGUUUUUGCUGUGGGCAGUGCUGGGCAGCAUUAGAAGGCAGCAGGCAGCCAUGGUGCCCAGAGCUGGGCAGCCCAGGCGCCAGCUGGAGGAGCUGGCAGCACACCGGCCAGCUUUCCUGCCAGGAAUCAGCCUGGCAAGCCAGUUCAAUAGCCUGCCUGUGUCCCACUGGAAAGCAUCAAGGAAGAUGUCACCAGUGAUGAUAUUGCUGACAACUCAGUGGACUCUACCAGGAAAAUUAUCCAUCAGAAAAAGAGAAAAUAAAAAACUGCCAACUUUAUGCUUGAGCAUCUCUGCCCAAAUAGUAACACCCUGUGGAAGACAAAUUCCCUUUUAGCACAGGAUUUUGCUGUGGUCCCAUGCAGAAUUUGCCAUGAGAGAUGAACAUCUCAGCUGUGUAGCAGGGCAGCUCCAGCCACCUCACUCUGCAAAACAGCCACCUGCACAUCCCGGCGUCACGGCGCCACUUCAACCGGUGACUCAGGCGCUGGCCUUUGCAUAUCUGCCAUGAACUCCAGUUUAUGCAGGGCCUGACUGCUUUGCUUAUGCAUUUCUACAUCUCUAGAUCCUAGGAGAUGAUGUUUGUCUUCCCUCUGCAGUCAUGGUAGGAAGGGCCAGUAAGCUGGGCUCAGGAUGGGGCAGCCUUCCCAAAGUGCAGCUGAUCUUCCUCUUGCUUUGUUAAGACAGGUUUAGCAGGAGUGGGUGUCACAUCUGCCUUCUCUCUCCAGGGCUGAGUGCCCCAGAAGAGCAAGCAUCAUGAACACAUCCUCCUUGUUUUCCAAAGAUCCUGUGAAACUCCUGCCUGGUCUUCAUUCAGUCAGGACUCAAAGUAUGAAAUGAUAAAGUCCUCUUGGGUUUUUUCAUCAUUCAGUCUCAGGCACACAGAAAGCUCACUAGGUUUUGCAGUGUCUGGUUGAAUCCACAUGCUUAUCUUUGCAGGGAUACUUUGGAGUCAAGGCUGAUUUCUACCUGAGCCUAAGUUGAUGUUUUGAGGCCAGCCAUAAGCAGCCCCAUGUCCCAGGCUCUGUCACCUCAGGCUGGUGGCUGCUGCUGAGACCUGGCUGCACCCAGCCCACAUGGGCUUGAGGAAGAGCUGGGGUUGGCAGCUCCCCUAGGACUCAGGGAAAGUGAGAUGGAUUGAAAACUGGCCCAGAAUGUGGUGAUUAGCAGUACAAACUCUAGCUGGAGGCCAGUCACUAGCACAGUAUCUCAGGGGUCAAAACCACAUCCAGGUCUGUUGGGAAGUAGCUUUUCUGAAAAGGAUCUGGAGAUCUUAGCAGGCACCACACUGAACAUUAGCCACAGAGAAGACUAAGGGUGUCCUGGGUUGCCUUAGUCAAAUUCCCCUGUGCUCAGCCAUGGUGGAUCAGCCCUAAAGCCUUGUGUCCAGUGCUGGGCUUCUCAGUGCCAGGGAGAUAGGGACACAGUGGGGAGAGGCCAGUGAAGGUACACGAAGGUGAAUGAAGGACUGAGAGAGGGUGGAAAGCAGAGGGAGCCAGGCUCUUCCCAACAGUGCCCAGUGCCAGGACCAGAGGCCAUGGGCACACGCUAGAACACAGGAGGGUCCCUCUGAACUUGGGGAAACGCUUUUUCAUUGUGAGUAGGACCAAGCACUGGCACAGCUGGCCGCGGACGUUGUGGAGGCUCCAUCCUUAGAGAUGUCCAGCAGCUGUCUGGACACGAGCCUGGACAGCCAGCCCUGGGUGACCCUGCUGCAGCAGGGCUUGGAGAAGAUGGCCUCCGGAGGUGCCUCACCUCAGCCCGCUGUGGCUCUGUGAGCUCCUCCAGAGGAACAUGGAGCCUUUUGUUCACCCCAGGUUCCACCUUGGGGCUGGCAAGACGUGAUGGGGUGACAGGAAUAACGAGGUGACUGCAGGUGGCGAUGCGGUGACAGUGUAACAGGGCUGUGACCAGGCUGAGGUGGGGUCGUCAGGGUGGCAGAGGUGACGGUGUCUGCAGCGGUGUGAGGGUGUCAGGGUGUGGCGGGCGUGUGACAGGCUGCGAUGGCGCGGGCAGGGGGAGGCUGGGCGGGUGACUCGGCUGCAGAGGGGUGUCAGGGUGUGGCGGGGCGGUGGCACGGCACAGGAGGCAGGCCACGGGGAGG